ACAAAAAUAAAAUACAUUUACCUUAUGGUUUGUCCUAUUUGCUCUUCUAUAUUUGGGGCCGGUCCUCUUUAACAUCUUCAUCAAUGAUCUGGAUGAUGGCAUUGAGUGCACCCUCAGUAAGUUUGCAGAUGACACCAAGCUAGGUGCGUGUGUCGAUCUGCUCGAGGGUAGGAAGGCUCUGCAGGAGGAUCUGGAUAGGCUGCACCGAUGGGCUGAGGUCAACUGCAUGAAGUUCAACAAGGCCAAGUGCCGGGUCCUGCACCUGGGGCGCAAUAACCCCAAGCAGAGCUACAGGCUGGGAGAGGAAUGGUUGGAGAGCUGCCAGGCAGAGAAGGACCUGGGAGUGAUGGUGGACAGUCAGCUGAAUAUGAGCCAGCAGUGUGCUCAGGUGGCCAAGAAGGCCAACGGCAUCCUGGCUUGUAUCAGAAACACUGUGACCAGCAGGGCUAGGGAGGUGAUCGUCCCCCUGUACUCGGCUCUGGUGAGGCCACACCUCGAGUACUGUGUUCAGUUUUGGGCCCCUCGCUACAAGAAGGACAUCGAGGUGCUUGAGCGGGUCCAAAGAAGGGCGACGAAGCUGGUGAGGGGCCUGGAGAGCAAGUCCUAUGAGGAGCGGCUGAAGGAGCUGGGCUUGUUCAGCCUAGAGAAGAGGAGGCUCAGGGGUGACCUUAUUGCUCUGUAUAAGUACAUUAAAGGAGGCUGUAGAGAGGUGGGGGUUGGCCUGUUCUCCCAUGUGCCUGGUGACAGGACGAGGGGGAAUGGGCUAAAGUUACGCCAGGGGAGUUUUAGGUUAGAUGUUAGGAAGAAUUUCUUUACUGAAAGGGUUGUGAGGCACUGGAACGGGCUGCCCAGGGAGGUGGUGGAGUCACCAUCCCUGGAAGUCUUCAAAAGACGUUUAGAUGUAGAGCUUAGGGAUAUGGUUUAGUGGGGACUGUUAGUGUUAGGUUAGAGGUUGGACUCGAUGAUCUUGAGGUCUCUUCCAACCUAGAAAUUCUGUGAUUCUGUGAUUCUGUGAUUUCCAGAAGAAAAUUUUCAGAUAAU
rnacentral:lncRNA from 1 species